GACAGAGGGUGCAAACGUUGUUCGGAAUUACUGGGCGUAAAGCGUACGUAGGCGGUUAUUCAAGUCAGAGGUGAAAGCCCGGGGCUCAACCCCGGAACGGCCUUUGAAACUAGAUAGCUAGAGUCUUGGAGAGGUUAGUGGAAUUUCCGGUGUAGCGGUGAAAUGCGUAGAUAUCGGAAGGAACAUCAGUGGCGAAAGCGACUUCCUGGACCAGUACCGACGUUCAGGCACGAAAGCGUGGGGAGCAAACAGG
rnacentral:rRNA from 1 species